UACGAAGGGGGCUAGCGUUGCUCGGAAUCACUGGGCUUAAAGCGCACGUAGGCGGCUUUGUAAGUUAGAGGUGAAAGCCCAGGGCUUAACCCUGGAAUUGCCUUUAAGACUGCAUCGCUAGAAUUGUGGAGAGGUAAGUGGAAUUCCGAGUGUAGAGGUGAAAUUCGUAGAUAUUCGGAAGAACACCAGUGGCGAAGGCGACUUACUGGACACAUAUUGACGCUGAGGUGCGAAAGCGUGGGGAGCAAACAGG
rnacentral:rRNA from 1 species